rnacentral:piRNA from 1 species
UUACAGUUAGAUAGGACCAAGAAAGC